UACGGAGGGUGCAAACGUUGCUCGGAAUCAUUGGGCGUAAAGCGCACGUAGGCGGUCUGGUAAGUCGGAUGUGAAAUCCCUCGGCUCAACAGAGGAAGUGCAUUCGAAACUGCCAGACUUGAAUAUGGAAGAGGGUCGCGGAAUUCCCGGUGUAGAGGUGAAAUUCGUAGAUAUCGGGAGGAACACCAGUGGCGAAGGCGGCGACCUGGGCCAAUAUUGACGCUGAGGUGCGAAAGCGUGGGGAGCAAACAGG
rnacentral:rRNA from 1 species